UGGUGGAGUGAUUUGUCUGGUUAAUUCCGUUAACGAACGAGACCCCUGCCUGCUAAAUAGCUGGGUGAGUGAAUUUCACUGACUGCAGCUUCUUAGAGGGACGUGCAUUCUAUUAGAUGCAGGAAGAUAGGGGCAAUAACA
rnacentral:rRNA from 1 species